rnacentral:rRNA from 1 species
CAAGGAAUUUUCCGCAAUGGGCGCAAGCCUGACGGAGCAACGCCGCGUGCAGGACGACGGCCUUCGGGUUGUAAACUGCUUUUCGGCGGGACGAUGAUGACGGUAGCCGAGGAAUAAGCACCGGCUAACUCCGUGCCAGCAGCCGCGGUAAGACGGAGGGUGCUAGCGUUGUUCGGAAUUACUGGGCGUAAAGGGCGCGUAGGCGGCCUGUUAAGUUGGAUGUGAAAGCCCGGGGCUCAACCUCGGAACGGCAUCCGAUACUGGCGGGCUCGAGACCGGGAGAGGAGGGUGGAAUACCCAGUGUAGAGGUGAAAUUCGUAGAUAUUGGGUGGAACACCGGUGGCGAAAGCGGCUCUCUGGCCCGGUUCUGACGCUGAGGCGCGAAAGCGUGGGGAGCAAACAGGAUUAGAUACCCGUGUAGUCC